CGAAGUAGGCUUCCGCAAGGACGUCUGUAGAGGUGCUGCAUGGCUGUCGUCAGCUCGUGUCGUGAGAUGUUGGGUUAAGUCCCGCAACGAGCGCAACCCUUGUCUUCUGUUGCCAUCGGGUUAUGCCGGGCACUCUGAAGAGACUGCCGGUGACAAACCGGAGGAAGGUGGGGAUGACGUCAAGUCAGCAUGGCCUUUAUGUCUGGGGCCACACACGUGCUACAAUGGCAGGUACAAACCGUCGCGAGACCGCAAGGUGGAGCUAAUCGGAGAAAGCCUGUCUCAGUUCGGAUUGUAGGCUGCAACUCGCCUGCAUGAGGUUGGAAUCGCUAGUAAUCGCGGAUCAGCACGCCGCGGUGAAUACGUUCCCGGGCCUUGUACACACCGCCCGUCACAUCACGAAAGCUGGCUGUACUAGAAGUAGCUGCGCCAACCCGCAAGGGAGGCAAGUUCCUAAGGUAUGGUCAGUGAUUGGGGUGAAGUCGUAACAAGGUAACCGU
rnacentral:rRNA from 1 species